rnacentral:rRNA from 1 species
UACGUAGGGGGCAAGCGUUGUCCGGAUUUAUUGGGCGUAAAGAGCGUGUAGGCGGUCCGGUAAGUCAGCUGUGAAAGUCAAGGGCUCAACCCUUGAAUGCCGGUUGAUACUGAGAAGCUUGAGUCCGGGAGAGGUGAGUGGAACUGCGAGUGUAGAGGUGAAAUUCGUAGAUAUUCGCAAGAACACCAGUGGCGAAGGCGGCUCACUGGCCCGGUACUGACGCUGAGGUGCGAAAGCGUGGGGAGCAAACGGG